rnacentral:rRNA from 1 species
CAGUCGCCGCGGUAACACGAAGUGUGCAAGCGUUAAUCGGAAUUACUGGGCGUAAAGCGUGCGUAGGCGGUGAGUUAAGUCUGCUGUGAAAUCCCCGGGCUCAACCUGGGAAUGGCAGUGGAUACUGGCUCGCUAGAGUGUGUCAGAGGAUGGUGGAAUUCCCGGUGUAGCGGUGAAAUGCGUAGAGAUCGGGAGGAACAUCAGUGGCGAAGGCGGCCAUCUGGGACAACACUGACGCUGAGGCACGAAAGCGUGGGGAGCAAACAGGAUUAGAUACCCGCGUAGUCCCUGUCUCUUAUAU